rnacentral:rRNA from 1 species
CCGGGUGCGAAGCAAUGGUUAUUCACUUUGUUUGAUAAUCUGCCACAUGCCCGGUUAAUAAACUGUGUUGUUACUUUAUGGGCAAUUUGGACAGCACGUCGGAAGGCUAUCCAUGAAGCAAUCUUUCAGAGCCCACAUGCCAUUUUCUCUUUUGUUAAGAGCUUCAUAUCGGAGCUUGAAUUUUUGAGGGCGCCUGUGUCAUCCGGCGACAAGCCUCGGGCAGCAACUAUCACAAGAACGGGAGGCAGGGGUGGAUGGAACGCGCCAGCCGAAGGCAUCGCAAAGAUCCAUGUGGACGGAGGACUCGCAAGGAAUGGGAGACAGGGGGCGGCAGCCUCGAUUUGUCGGGAUCAUACUGGCAAAUACCUUGGUUCGUCGGCUAUGGUCUUCGACCUAAUUACGGACCCUCCUACGCUGGAAGCGCUUGCUUGUAGAGAAGCUCUGUCUCUUGCACUCGAUUUAUCUUUGGAUCGAGUUAUUAUUGCAUGUGACUAUAAAACACUGGUGGAUGAGAUAGAGAAAUGUUCGGAUGGGAAAUAUGGUAUGAUCAUUAAGGAGAUUGUUGCAAGGGCAAGGGAACUUACUAGCUGCAAGUUUGUUUUUGAAGGUCGGGCAAUGAAUGUUGAUGCCCAUAAUUUAGUGAAGUUCUCUACAUCCUUAGAAGAAGGACAUCAUGUGUGGCUGGGGACACCCCACGACCCUUUUGUAAUUCAUGUAAACCUG